rnacentral:rRNA from 1 species
CAGCCGCCGCGGUAAUACGAAGGGGGCUAGCGUUGUUCGGAAUUACUGGGCGUAAAGCGCACGUAGGCGGAUAUUUAAGUCAGGGGUGAAAUCCCGCAGCUCAACUGCGGAACUGCCUUUGAUACUGGGUAUCUUGAGUAUGGAAGAGGUUAGUGGAAUUGCGAGUGUAGUGGUGAAAUUCGUAGAUAUUCGCAGGAACACCAGUGGCGAAGGCGGCUAACUGGUCCAUAACUGACGCUGAGGUGCGAAAGCGUGGGGAGCAAACAGGAUUAGAUACCCGUGUAGUCCCUGUCUCUUAUAC